rnacentral:rRNA from 1 species
AUUGAACGCUGGCGGCAUGCUUUACACAUGCAAGUCGAACGGUAACAGGCCGCAAGGUGCUGACGAGUGGCGAACGGGUGAGUAAUGCAUCGGAACGUGCCCAGUCGUGGGGGAUAACUACUCGAAAGAGUAGCUAAUACCGCAUACGAUCUAUGGAUGAAAGCGGGGGACCGUAAUGCCUCGCGCGAUUGGAGCGGCCGAUGUCAGAUUAGGUAGUUGGUGGGGUAAAGGCUCACCAAGCCAACGAUCUGUAGCUGGUCUGAGAGGACGACCAGCCACACUGGGACUGAGACACGGCCCAGAGUCCUACGGGAGGCAGCAGUGGGGAAUUUUGGACAAUGGGCGCAAGCCUGAUCCAGCAAUGCCGCGUGCAGGAAGAAGGCCUUCGGGUUGUAAACUGCUUUUGUACGGAACGAAACGGCUCUGGUUAAUACCCGGGGCUAAUGACGGUACCGUAAGAAUAAGCACCGGCUAACUACGUG